rnacentral:lncRNA from 1 species
GAAGCACUUAAAAUGAACCUAACGCUUGCAGAUGUGGCUAACAGUUGUAUCAGACAAGAAUUACAAGUUGUCAUGGAGGCAGAGGAUGUGGCCUCAAUCAAUUCUGCAAUGGCGGAUUCCUUGCUUUUCCAGUACAUUGGAACCUACACUAGAGUGACACGUGCCAACUUCGAGGAAGAACGAACCAUUGCUGUGAAAGCUGCGUUACAGCACUGCUGUGUGAAAAGGAUUGCGGAUGGAGUCGAAGCUUUUGGCAAAGGAUUUAAUCAAUAUAAUCUAUUGACGUUUCUUAAAGCUCAGCCAGAAGCAGCCAAAGAUAUAUUUUGUCAGAAAUAGAGAAGAUUUACUCAAAAGAAAUGUUGCUUAUCAGUUUCAUAUUAGCAAUGGUGAUAGAAAAACACAAGUAUACAAAUUUCUUGUAACAUACUUGGAAAAAGCAGAAGGUAAGUUUUUUGUACACUGCUGUAAAUUAUGAGGUAAUUAUAGAUGAAUCAAAGGACCCUGAGAACCAGCCAGGUUUUGGUAAAAUUUUUGAAAAAAUUGAAGCUUUGUCUGUUCAGAUAAAACUGUAUCUCCGAUUUCUGCUACUAACUUUAUCUGAAAAUACCGAAGCUUCACAAGGCUGGUCUACUUAAAUUUUCUUUUUAAAAUUGGUAAAUACGCCAUUCGUAAUUUUGAAAGUUGAAACUUGUUCUUUUGGAAAUGGUAGGAAGUGUACUUACAGCCAUCUGAUUUUAAGGACUGCAAUUGCAAAGUUAUGGGAUUGCAGAUAAGAUGAGUCACGGAUAGUUUUAUUGCUUUUGGAAAACAAUGGGCGUUAAUGAUAUGAGUGUUUUCUCUUUUUUAUGGGAAGCCAUUUAUACUGAUGUUAAGAGGCACAAGUGGAUUAACCAAUUUCAAUCGAUGACGAGAAAUCAACACCCCUUUUAAGUGGGCAAUUCUACCUUAAUGGCGGUCAACAACUUCUUAGAGAGCAUAUUGAGAGGCUUUAUAGAUGGAUAUUUUGGUCAGUGUAAGUAACAAUGGACACUUAAAUCAAUGUUGAUCAAUAUCGAUAGCUGUUUAUCAUACGAUCCUCGCGCAGUGCACAUCUCUGCCCAAAAGAACCUCUAAGAUAAAGCGUUGUUCCUGCAAUGUGUGUUGUGUGAAAUAUGAGUUUAGCAAAGGUUUUUUUACCAGUUUCCUUAUAUAUUUUUGUAACAAAGCUUUCAUCCGCCAUUUAAUUGUGCCAGUGUGUUGAGUUACCUUUGUUUCUGGUUUCUUGCUUUUCUUCAACAUUUUUCUUAUAAUAAUUAAUCGUUCAUUUUCUCUUUGUGUUUACAGGUCCGGCACCAAGAUUUUCCCUCAACAAUAUACUGGAGAGUAUCACAGGGCAUGUGACUAUCCCGCCUUUAGGAUAUGGAGAGUGUAAGCCUACCAUCCAGGUUACAGAUACAGAAUCUGUUCGUAUCAGGGAGUGCUUCAACCGUCUGGAACUUCCUAGGUCAGCAGAUGAUUACGACAUCUUUGAAAUGACCUUCAAUAUUGCUCUUCAAGAUGUAAGUUAUACCGAAGUCUAAUAAAGGAUAGGCUAACAGGAGUAUUGCCCAUUUAAUGGGCCUUUUACAAAAUUUUGCUAGAGCAAAAAUAAGAGUUGUCUUUUAUAGAAAAUGUCU